CGGAGGGAGCUAGCGUUGUUCGGAAUUACUGGGCGUAAAGCGCACGUAGGCGGCUUUGUAAGUUAGAGGUGAAAGCCUGGAGCUCAACUCCAGAACUGCCUUUAAGACUGCAUCGCUUGAAUCCAGGAGAGGUGAGUGGAAUUCCGAGUGUAGAGGUGAAAUUCGUAGAUAUUCGGAAGAACACCAGUGGCGAAGGCGGCUCACUGGACUGGUAUUGACGCUGAGGUGCGAAAGCGUGGGGAGCAAACAGGAUU
rnacentral:rRNA from 1 species